rnacentral:tRNA from 1 species
GGAAGGGUGGCAGAGCGGUUGAAUGCAACGGUCUUGAAAACCGUCGAUGGGCAACCAUCCGUGGGUUCAAAUCCCACCCCCUCCGCCA